AGCAGCUGCCUCUGGGUGGUGGCAGAGAUGCCCAUGUCUAGGACCUCCAGGCCUUAACUAAUCAGGGGCACUGAUGAAGCCAGCGGGGCUCCACUGGGGACCACAGGCAAGACUGGGCCAGGACGAGGCGGUCACGCAGAGAAAGAAGAUAAAAGGGAACAGAAGAGAAAAUUCAAAAGGAGCACGGGCCUCCCCGGGAGUGGGCUUCAGCCUCCCUAGACUCCUGUCUCCUUCCAAGGGCUAGGCCUGGGGGACCAGAAGCAAGAGUCCCUAGAGCGUCCAAGAUUUUUGGUUUCAAACCAAUUUCCUGCUGACCAGAAUGAAAUGGAGCCACAUUCCAGCACGAUGCACCUGCUGACCUCCUGCAAGUCAGGGACCUUCUCUGCCCCUCUUUUGCUCUGCUGCAGGAGGGAGAAGCUGGGAAUGUGUUCCUCUGGGGUCCCAUCACCUCCAGCCAGCCACUGUCCCUGUCUCCCCAAAACCUCCUCGUUGUCCCUCCUCUGUCCUCCUCCUCCUCCAUCUGCCUUCGCCCUGCUCUCCUCUUUUUCGCCUGAGGUUCGUGCUGCCUCCUCACCUCUUGUCCUGUUUCUCCCUUCUCUCUGCUCCCUCCUUUGAUCUUGCUAUUUUGCUUCUCUUUCCCUUCCUCUCUUCUCCUCCCUCCCCUUCCUCCCUGCUCCCUGCCUCAGCUUCUCAGUCUCUCUCCGUUCUUCCUCUAGCUUCCUUCCCUCCCCAGAAGACCCAGCCCUUCCUAGAGCCCCAGAAGCCAGGGUUCAUGCCCCAGCUCUCUACCCACACAUGCUGUGCAACCCUGGGCCAGUCACUGGUCUCUUGGGCCUCAGUUCAACAGAUGG
rnacentral:lncRNA from 1 species